UCAGAGAUCUGUAUCUCAAACGCU
rnacentral:misc_RNA from 1 species